ACGACGUGGCUCGUCAUUGGUCACGAGCUUCUGGGAGGAGCUGUUCAGAGAGGCGAAUCAGAUAUGAACCAUGUUCGAAUAAUUGCCUCCGUUUGCCAGUAGUGCGGGGGAACGUCGUCAACGAGGUCCGGAUGCUUAAACUUUUUGUGGGACGCAGGUUUACUGGUUCAGCUGCUGCAGCCUGGACUACGAAGGGAGUUUAAGCCACUCUGAUUUAACUCGGGUUAUCAAGGAACGUCGGGGUUGACAGACGUCGGCUGCCUCGAUCUGCGUUAACUACGGCGAUGGUGAAGAUGUCGGUGUCUCCACUUUGUCCACGAUCACAGAGAGUCUUCACACAAUGAAGAAGUUCUUUGAGACCAGGACACAGGCCUCCAGGUGUCUCCACUUCGUCUUCGUACAGUGAAGAAGUUCUUUGAGACCAGGACUGAGGCCUCCAGGUGUCUCCACUUUGUCCACGAUCACAGAGAGUCUUCACACAAUGAAGAAGUUCUUUGAGACCAGGACACAGGCCUCCAGGUUCCUCCACUUUGUCCACGAUCACAGAGAGUCUUCACACAAUGAAGAAGUUCUUUGAGACCAGGACACAGGCCUCCAGGUAAUUCACACACUGUCAAACACAAAACACUAUCAGGAAAGUGUAAUAAGAGAAGUAAUGUAGAAGCAAUUAGCAAGUCAGAGUAAUCUGUUACUAGAUGUAGUUUGCAACAGUAAAAGUUAAAUGUAAAUUUAGAACUAAUUUGUAAUAUAAAAGCAAUGCAAAAGUAAUAGUAAAUCAAAAUAGAAAUAAAAGUCACAGUGUAGUCAGGAGUCACUAAAUGUAACAAUAAAGUAUUAAAAACUGUCAGUGUAGUCAGGAGUCACUAAAUGUAACAGUAAAGUAUUAAAAACUGUUAAAAACUGUCAGUGUAGUCAGGAGUCACUAAAUGUCACAGUAAGAUGUCAAAAUGUCAGUCUAGUCACUAAAUGUAACAGUAAAGUAUUAAAAACUGUCUCAAACUGUCAGUGUAGUCAGGAGUCACUAAAUGUCACAGUAAGAUGUCAAAAUGUCAGUCUAGUCACUAAAUGUCACAGUAAGAUGUCAAACUGUCAGUCUAGGCAUUAAAUGUAACAGUAAAGUAUUAAAAACUGUCUCAAACUGUCAGUGUAGUCACUAAAUGUCAAAGUACAGUAAAGUGUUAAAACUGUCACAAACUGUCAGUGUAGUCAGGAGUCACUAAAUGUCACAGUAAGAUGUCAAACUGUCAGUCUAGUCACUAAAAGUAACAGUACAGUAAAGUGUUAAAACUGUCAGUGUAGUCAGUCUAGUCACUAAAUGUCAAAGUACAGUAAAGUGUUAAAACUGUCUCAAACUGUCAGUGUAGUCAGGAGUCACUAAAUGUCACAGUAAGAUGUCAAACUGUCAGUCUAGGCAUUAAAUGUAACAGUAAAGUAUUAAAAACUGUCUCAAACUGUCAGCAUAGUCAGGAGUCACUAAAUGUCACAGUAAGAUGUCAAACUGUCAGUCUAGGCAUUAAAUGUAACAGUAAAGUGUUAAAACUGUCUCAAACUGUCAGUGUAGUCACUAAAUGUAACAGUAAAGUAUUAAAAACUGUCUCAAACUGUCAGCGUAGUCAGGAGUCACUAAAUGUCACAGUAAGGUGUCAAACUGUCAGUCUAGUCACUAAAUGUAACAGUACAGUAAAGUGUUAAAACUGUCUCAAACUGUCAGUGUAGUCAGGAGUCACUAAAUGUCACAGUAAGGUGUCAAACUGUCAGUCUAGUCACUAAAUGUAACAGUACAGUAAAGUGUUAAAACUGUCACAAACUGUCAGCGUAGUCAGGAGUCACUAAAUGUCACAGUAAGAUGUCAAAAUGUCAGUCCAGUCACUAAAUGUAACAGUAAAGUAUUAAAAACUGUCUCAAAAUGUCAGUCUAGUCACUAAAUGUAACAGUACAGUAAAGUGUUAAAACUGUCAGUGUAGUCAGGAGUCACUAAAUGUCACAGUAAGGUGUCAAACUGUCAGUCUAGGCAUUAAAUGUAACAGUAAAGUAUCAAAAACUGUCAGUGUAGUCAGGAGUCACUAAAUGUCACAGUAAGAUGUCAAACUGUCAGUCUAGUCACUAAAUGUAACAGUACAGUAAAGUGUCAAAAACUGUCAGUGUAGUCAGGAGUCACUAAAUGUCACAGUAAGGUGUCAAAAUGUCAGUCUAGUCACUAAAUGUAACAGUAAAGUAUUAAAAACUGUUAAAAACGGUCAGUGUAGUCAGGAGUCACUAAAUGUAACAGUAAGAUGUCAAACUGUCAGUCUAGUCACUAAAUGUAACAGUACAGUAAAGUGUUAAAACUGUCACAAACUGUCAGCGUAGUCAGGAGUCACUAAAUGUCACAGUAAGGUGUCAAACUGUCAGUCUAGUCACUAAAUGUCAAAGUACAGUAAAGUGUUAAAACUGUCACAAACUGUCAGCGUAGUCAGGAGUCACUAAAUGUCACAGUAAGAUGUCAAACUGUCAGU